rnacentral:rRNA from 1 species
CCUACGGAGGGCAGCAGUAGGGAAUCUUCGGCAAUGGACGGAAGUCUGACCGAGCAACGCCGCGUGAGUGAAGAAGGUUUUCGGAUCGUAAAGCUCUGUUGUAAGGGAAGAACGAGUGUGAGAGUGGAAAGUUCACACUGUGACGGUAUCUUACCAGAAAGGGACGGCUAACUACGUGCCAGCAGCCGCGGUAAUACGUAGGUCCCGAGCGUUUUCCGGAAUUAUUGGGCGUAAAGCGCGCGCAGGCGGUUAGAUAAGUCUGAAGUUAAAGGCUGUGGCUUAACCAUAGUACGCUUUGGAAACUGUUUAACUUGAGUGCAAGAGGGGAGAGUGGAAUUCCAUGUGUAGCGGUGAAAUGCGUAGAUAUAUGGAGGAACACCGGUGGCGAAGGCGGUUCUCUGGCUUGUAACUGACGCUGAGGCUCGAAAGCGUGGGGAGCAAACAGGAUUAGAUACCCGUGUAGUC